rnacentral:siRNA from 1 species
UAUAAUAUGUUUAUGAAUCAUUGU